CACUGAAUGUUUUACUAGCACUGGGUGCUCACCAUGCAACGAUGAAGAAAAUGUGGAAACUCAAAAAAGGUCAGGACAGACUCACAAGCACUUGCAACUGAUGUUACUGUCUUCAAUUUUAAUAAUUACACAUAUUUGUAUAUUUCAGAGAAGUUUUUAGUAUUUCUCUGUUCACUUUUUAUAAGCUUUAAAAUGAUUUUCUCUGCCUUGAGAUUUGCAUCAAGAAAAAGCACCUCUCUUCACCUGAAAGCUUUGAAGACUAGAGACACGCUUUACACGUUUUAACAAGUAUAUUGAGUCCACGUUUGGUAGCAUCAGUUGUUGAGUUAAAAAGAAAAUUAUUGCAUUUGAUCUGGAUGGAUUUUAAAAGAACAUAAUGUUCAAUAUUAAAAGGAUAAUUAACAUUUGCCACCGCAAUGUUCUUUUUUAUGUAAAAAGAACAAGAACUUGGAGACAUUAACUUGCAAAAGUCUUUUAUCAUUAGCUCAUGUAUUUGAGGAAGAGCAGCUGUCUUUUUAUAUGUUUUUUGACAAAUCAUAUUGUAAUUCUUUUGUACAAAAAAGAACUACUUGUAUUCUAGAAGAAAUAUGAAAUGCUUAAUUUAUAAGCGGGCUGGAGAUUUUUUCCAAUAUUGUUUUCUUUGAAAAUGAAAGGGGAUCAUCUGUUUAGUUUUGGGGUCUGGGAACUUUUUUUGAUUUUGUGUUUUACUUACUGUUUGCAGUGUUCGGAUUGUUUAGCACAGCCAUUCUCUAGGACCGAUAGAAGCCUCUUUGCCCUCUCUUCAGCAGUUUGCUUUCUCUUUCUUGUGCUGUGUUUAAUAAAGAACACCAGUCCUCUACCCCCAGGGACACCUGUGACCUCUUAUUUACACUUACAAGCAAAUCAGGGAGAAAAUAUGUACGUUUUUGGAAGUUAAUUUUAUUAUAUGAAGAUGGUAUACAAAAUACAUUCAUCAUGACUAGAAAUAUAGGACCAAACCAUGUCUGUCUUAUAUCUGUAGCAUAUAUUCUUGGUUUGUAUAAAAGUAACUUUAAAAUUCCAGUUUCCUUAAAUAGUUAUGCACAAAACACACACACACACACAUACACAUAUAGUUACACCACUGUUGGCCAAAGAUGCACUCCUCCUUUCAUCAAUUUAAAUGAGGCUAGCGAGUAUCUGUUUGAUGUUUGCAUUCUUAUGGGCUAGGAAACAAGGCACAGGUCCCUAAAAUUAACAUCUAGGCGUCACUUUUUGGACUGACAAGAUACAGACUCGUAUAUGGUUUCAGCCCCAUUCCACCCACACUGUUCCACAUACAUUAUCUCAGAAACUCUGAAAGGAAGUGCUUGUUCUUUGUUAGUGCCGUUUUUGUCAUAAAUGGCAAAUGACUGGAAUAUUAUCAGUUAAUUCAUGUUUCAAUUUUCAGUGCUAUUUUAAUGAACAAGCACUUUGUAACUAGCUCAUUAUUACAAGCCUCCAUUUUUCUUUCUACAUUAAGAUUCCAGAUGGAACCAUUCUUUGACUGAUGGAUGGACUCAUGUAUGCUACAAACCUGAGUUUGAAGAAGCUGAGUAACGCAAUUCUAAUGAUUUUUCUUUUCUCUUGGAAAGGAGUAUUUAUUAUGGUCUCUUAAUGAUUAAGAAUUAGAUCAUUGAAAUCAAGACAUAUGAAUAGCUAAGGUUUUAUUUGUUAUCAUUAUUUGCUGGGCUGUUGUCUGAUUUGGAAAAAAAAUAGAGAAUUGACUGAGGUCUUUUUUCUGUGUUUAACCUCCUUCCAGUUACCUGAUUUAUAAUAUUGCCAGCUGUCACAGGUGCUUUUGUGUAUAGAAAGAAGAGGAAGAACGAAGAUUUGUCCUCUUCUGGCUCUAGCCUCCUUUUGUUUGAAUUUAGAUCUUGGUGGAGAGACCUGUCCCGCUCCUCUCUUCUGGCUAGUGA
rnacentral:lncRNA from 1 species